rnacentral:rRNA from 1 species
GACGAACGCUGGCGGCGUGCCUAAUACAUGCAAGUUGAGCGAUGAAGCUUGGUGCUUGCACCAAUUUGAAGAGCAGCGAACGGGUGAGUAACGCGUGGGGAAUCUGCCUUUGAGCGGGGGACAACAUUUGGAAACGAAUGCUAAUACCGCAUAACAACUUUAAACAUAAGUUUUAAGUUUGAAAGAUGCAAUUGCAUCACUCAAAGAUGAUCCCGCGUUGUAUUAGCUAGUUGGUGAGGUAAAGGCUCACCAAGGCGAUGAUACAUAGCCGACCUGAGAGGGUGAUCGGCCACAUUGGGACUGAGACACGACCCAAACUCCUACGGGAGGCAGCAGUAGGGAAUCUUCGGCAAUGGACGAAAGUCUGACCGAGCAACGCCGCGUGAGUGAAGAAGGUUUUCGGAUCGUAAAACUCUGUUGGUAGAGAAGAACGUUGGUGAGAGUGGAAAGCUCAUCAAGUGACGGUAACUACCCAGAAAGGGACGGCUAACUACGUG